rnacentral:ncRNA from 1 species
AAUUGGUUCGUACAUCAACGUGCGACGAAGAGGGAACCGGGUGGGAAUCCCGGACAGUCCCGCUACUGUGUGCGGCACUUUUUAGGAACUAACAGUAAUACCACUGACUAUCCGCAAUAUUCUCAGGAUGCGUCGGGAAGGUGUUUGUUCUUAGCCGCAAGCCAGAAGACCUGCCGUUGCA